UUUACCUACGGGGCGCAGCAGUGAGGAAUAUUGGUCAAUGGGCGGUAGCCUGAACCAGCCAAGUAGCGUGAAGGAUGAAGGUUCUAUGGAUUGUAAACUUCUUUUAUAAAGGAAUAAAGUGAGGCACGUGUGCCUUUUUGUAUGUACUUUAUGAAUAAGGAUCGGCUAACUCCGUGCCAGCAGCCGCGGUAAUACGGAGGAUCCGAGCGUUAUCCGGAUUUAUUGGGUUUAAAGGGAGCGUAGAUGGGUUGUUAAGUCAGUUGUGAAAUCCCUCGGCUCAACUGAGGAACUGCAACUAAAACUGG
rnacentral:rRNA from 1 species